rnacentral:rRNA from 1 species
UCCGGCUGACUUCUGACCUAUCUCCAUCUCAUUGGCUAUCCUCCGUGCCGUCCACAAAGUUUUGGCCCACCGUAUCGGCUCCACUCUGGAUUUCUCUCAGCUACAACAUGCCUUCCUACAGAGAGAUGGCUGCCUUGAAGCAUCUUCCCUGCUCCAUACUAUCAUGCGCAAGAUCCAUGAUGAUCUUGUUGCUACAUCAGUGCUCUUUCUGGACAUCUCCAAGGCCUUCGUCUCAGUCUCCACCCAAACACUGCUCAGUGUGGCUAAGUCUUCUGGUAUUCCUCCACCUCUAACUCGGUACCUGGGCACGCUAUGUGCCCAUCCGGUUGCCCAAUUGGAACCGAGGUCUACAACAUGCGGACGUGGUGUUCGACAGGGUGAUCCACUCUCCCCCCUGCUCUGCAUCAUGACAAUUGAGGACAUCCUCCGAAGUGCCAUCCCCGAUCUAGGCUUCAACUUAGACGGCUGCAAUGUCCCCGCGCUGGCCUACGCAGACGACCUGGUUCUCUUUGCUGGGAGACCUGAGAGGCUACAGGAGAAGCUCGACGGCUUGGUCGCAAUCCCUCCACUCUGCUGGUAUGUCACUCAACGCCAAGAAGUCGGUGGGCCUCACAAUCGCCAAGGACGGGAAACACAAAACUAUGGUCCUUCUCCCAUCUACCUAUCACCUCGGCUCCGACGAGAUUCAGCCCAUUGGUCACUCCGAUACAGUCCGGUACCUCAGCCUCGAAUUCAACUGGAAAUGUCGAGUGGUGCCCAAACACACCUCAAACCUAGAGAAAAUGCUCCAGGAGAUCUCGAUGGCCCCUCUCAAGCCUUACCAACGCCUGGACCUCCUUAAGAAAUUUGUCAUCCCUAAGCUCACACACGAACUGGUCCGGGGAACGAAACACCCUCAAAAAGAUGGAUGUUCUGGUCUGGUCCCAUGUUUGGAUCUGGCUCCGCUUGCCCAAAAACACACCUCUCGGUUUUCUUCACGCUUCAAUCCGAGACGGAGGUAUCGGUAUUCUGUGCUUUGGCACGAGUAUCCCUGUCCUUCAAAAGAACCGGUUCUCCAAGUUGCUGUCCAACCCAAGUCCUAUCAUCUCUACCUUUAUCCAACAGAAGUCCUUCGCGGUCCUCCAGCAGUCAAUAGACCGGCCUCUUCGGUUUUGCAAUGGGCUGAUCCAGUCAAAGACCGACGCUCGGAAGGCUUGGUGUAGUGAUCUCCAACAGUUGACUGAUGGGAAAGAUCUCUUUGGACAACCUGUCGAUCUGGCAAGCCAUCACUGGUUGCGAUAUCCGGAACGGGUCUUCCCUCGUCUCCAUCUCUGUGGGAUUCAACUGCAUGGUGGCCUUCUGCCAACCAAGUCUCACAUGGCACAUGGGUGUGGACCCUAAGACCCUGAUAAAUUCUGCCGUGGUGCCUGUCAUCAACCCGAGAUGCUUAACCACAUCCUCCAAGUCUGCGAAACAACCCAUGAUGCAAGGUGCAUGCGGCACAACAGGAUCAUCCAAAGAGUUGACCAAAUCCUGAGACACAAGGAGCUACAGACCUGGAUCGAGCCCAUCAUCCCAUCUGGCUCGUCCUUCGUCAAGCCGGACAUCGUGGUGCUCACCAAUAACCAGCUAGUAGUCCUGGACGUAUCCGUCGUUGGUGGUUAUCACCUUCAGGAGACCUGGGACCUGAAAUCUGCUAAGUAUGGCUCCUCUCCCUGCACUGCCACCUUGCAGAAAUGGCAUGGCUCAUCGAUCCCAAUCUGCCACUCUCCAAUUAUCAUCUGCAAUAGAAGCCUUCUCUUCGCUAAGUCUGGCCGUCAUCUGCGUUCUCUAGGCCUAUCCUCUCGCGAUCUCUCCGACCUAUGCCUUCUGGCAAUCAUCAGCUUGCUCAGGUGCUAUGACCUAUACACAAGAAGUACAACGGACUACAAAAGACACCGACAUAGACGGGACGCCGGUUGCAACUAUGACCUGCCUUCGGGUGGUGACAAUACCAGACGUUGAUGUCAAUAGCGAUUUUCGCCUCAGAUUCAACUGUUACACUAGUUUGGUAUGUUACUGUAACGGUUUAAGUCUGAUAAUAAAUGAUAACUAGCCAAAUGCCUCGUCAUCUAAUUAGUAACAAGCAUGAAUGGAUGAACGAGAUUCGCACUCUCCCUACCUACUAUCUAACAAAACCACAGCCAAGGGAACGGGCUUGGCGGAAUCAACGGGGAAAGAACACCCUGUUGAGCUUGACUCUAGUCUGGUCCUGUGAAGAGACAUGAGAGGUGUAGAAUAAGUGGGAGGCCCGCCCGGGCUGCCGGUGAAAUACCCCUUCUCUGAUCGUUUUUUUCCCUUACCUGGUGAGGCGGGGGGCAAGUCCGGAGGGGCUCUCGCUUCUGGCUCCAAGUGCCCGGCGUGGGCCGGGCGUGACCCGCUCCGGGGACAGCGUCAGGUGGGGAGUUUGACUGGGGCGGUACACCUGUCAAACCGUGACGCAGGUGUCCUAAGGCGAGCUCAAGGAGGACAGAAACCUCCCGUGGAGCAGAAGGGCAAAAGCUUGUUUGAUCUUGAUUUUCAGUAGGAAUACAGACCGUGAAAGCGGGGCCUCACGAUCCUUCUGACUUUUUGGGUUUUAAGCAGGAGGUGUCAGAAAGGUUACCACGCUUGUGGCGGCCAAGCGUUCAUAGCAACGUCGCCUUUUGAUCCUUCGAUGUCGGCUCUUCCUAUCAUUGUGAAGCAGAAUUCACCAAGCAUUGGAUUGUUCACCCUCUAAUAGGGAACGAAAGCUGGGUUUAGACCGUCGUGAGACAGGUUAGUUUUACCCUACUGAUGAUGUGUUGUUGCGAUAGUAAUCCUGCUCAGUACGAGAGGAACCACAGGUUCAGACUUUUGGUGUAUGUGUUUGGCUGAGGAGCCAAUGGGGCGAAGCUGGGACAGAAAGUGAAAGAAAUAUUUGUGGGUGGCGCGGGGUGGAUGUUGCUCAGAUAUAUUGCUAAACGUGCGUGAACCUUUGGGGGAAGGUGUCCCUUGUCUGCUCACAAGAAACAUAGGGGAGCGAAGCGGCCAUUGGUCAUUUGGUGGGAAAAAAGGCGUCGCUCCCCUCCCCCACAAUCUCCCCCCUCCUCUUCC